UUGAACGCUGGCGGCAUGCUUUACACAUGCAAGUCGAACGGUAACAGGCCGCAAGGUGCUGACGAGUGGCGAACGGGUGAGUAAUGCAUCGGAACGUGCACAGUCGUGGGGGAUAACUACUCGAAAGAGUAGCUAAUACCGCAUACGAUCUAUGGAUGAAAGCGGGGGACCGUAAGGCCUCGCGCGAUUGGAGCGGCCGAUGUCAGAUUAGGUAGUUGGUGGGGUAAAGGCUCACCAAGCCAACGAUCUGUAGCUGGUCUGAGAGGACGACCAGCCACACUGGGACUGAGACACGGCCCAGACUCCUACGGGAGGCAGCAGUGGGGAAUUUUGGACAAUGGGCGCAAGCCUGAUCCAGCAAUGCCGCGUGCAGGAAGAAGGCCUUCGGGUUGUAAACUGCUUUUGUACGGAACGAAACGGCUCUGGUUAAUACCCGGGGCUAAUGACGGUACCGUAAGAAUAAGCACCGGCUAACUACGUG
rnacentral:rRNA from 1 species